AGGAAACCAGAGCACCCGGUGGAAACCCCCGAGGCACGGGGAGAACAUGCAAACUCCGCACACACAAGGCGGAGGCGGGAAUCGAACCCCGACCCUGUGAGGCGAACGUGCUAACCACUAGGCCACCAAGCUGCAUGUAAGUGGAAAGCUAAAGAUACCACAAGGGUGUGUGGUGUGUCAAACUGGAUAUCCCCACCCGUAUGCCUGGAAGUACAGACAACAAAAUGUCACCAUCGGCAGAUUUGAAGCCUGAUGAGACGUUUAAGCCUGACGAGACGUUUAAGCCUGACGAGACAUUGAUCUCUUCUGUUUCUUUGUAGGGGGAGAGCUGAAAAACAAAAUCAAGGAAAACAAGUAGUCAGAAAAAUACACUUUAAAAUAAGUUAAUAAACAGGAUUAUUCUUAAACUUCAGGAUAGAUUCAUACAUUUAGUUAUACAUCUACAUUUAGUUUUAGAAAACAUCUGGUGAAAUGUGGACAUUGUUUCACAUUGUGUUAUUUUUGCUCUUCUCAGGUAUUUUACACGGUGAGAUUUUUCCACAAAAUCCUCAGACACAGGACGAGACAGAAACAGGAAUGUUCCAUAAAAGCUUCUUUGUGGAUCCGAGACAAGGAAAAAGCAAUCAUACCGAGGAUUCAGGAGCUAUUAAGUGUUAUAUAUGCAAGAAAAUUGUUAAGGCGAUUAUAAAAAGAGUGAACAAAAGAAUUAAUCAGAAAUGCUGUAUUUUUUUUAGAAGACUGAGGUGGAAACAUGUCCCCUGUAAUUCAGCUUGGAUUUUUGCUCUUAUGUUUAGUAGUUGCUGAUGCAGUUACUCAUGAGCCAAGUCUGAAAAACAAGACAGAGAAGAAAUUGUUGAUCCGCAUUAACAGCUCACCAAGCAAGCGUGAAGAUGUCAAUAUGAAAGGGGCGAAAUGUUUCGUUUGUAAGCGAUUUAUGAUAAAGACGAUGCCUUCAUUCUCCAGAAAUCUACAAAAGAAAUUGAUAGCAGCAUGUGAUAUUUUUGCAGAUUUUCAUUAUAAGUACUGCAUGAAGGAAGCAGAGAAGUUCUACAAAGCUGUGAUGGAUUUUGUGUAUCCUGAAAAAAGCGCAAAACUAGCGUGUAUAAAAAUAAACAUGUGUAAGAAAGCACUCAUGUCCUAACACAUUCAAGGUUUUCUUCUUCCUUCAAGGAACUUUUGUCACCUGUUAUAUAACGGGUAAUAUAAAAACAAACAAACAAACAAACAAACAAAUAAAUAAAUAAGUACACAAAUUCAUCAUUUAGGGAUUGUAUUUUCAAAUUGCAUAUCUGUGUGUAUUUUUUUUUGUUUCCCAAUUUGCUAUUAUAUUUAAUAAACAUGCUUUAUGCCUGAAGCAUUUGUUUGUGUCACGAGUAAAAUUUCACAUGUUAUGAGGAUUGUUCAAGUUUUAUUUUCACAUAGCUACUCUAAUAUAUGACCUCCAUUUUAGUUCCCUGAUUCCAUGAUUACUAAUCACACACACACACACACACACACACACACACACACACACACACACGCUCAUACGCCUUCCAUUCCCCAAAUUAAUUAUUUAUUUAUUCAUAUUAUUAUUUAUUUACUUAUUUAUUUACUUGUUCUGUUUCCAUUUUGUGCAUUUCAUAUUUAGUAGUUAAUCUCAGUACAAGUGGAACUUUAAAUCAAGCAUGAAUAAAAAACUAACUAACUAACUAACUAACUAACUAACUAACUAACUAACUAACUAACUAAAUAAAUAAAUAAAUAAAUAAAUAAAUAAAUAAAUACAACAAAUUUAGAUCCCUGUCUAUACUUCUCAUUGUAGAUGUUUUUUGUAUUGUUAUUUCAACUAGUUUGUUUAAUGAUUAGUGCAUUGGUUAACUCUUUGUUGUUUGUAUUUUUACAUUUUUAAUUGCAAGAUUUAUUUAUUAGUUUCUAUGUUUGUCCAAUGCAUAUUUUAUAUUUACCAUUAUAUUUAUCUAUUUAUCUAUUUAUCUAUUUUUUGUUUGUUUGUUUGUUUGUGUUUGUUGUUUUGCACUCCUGAGUGAGCAUCACAAAUAAAUUACAAUGUAGAUGAUUUUAAAAUAAUGUAGAUGUUUUCUGCUGAUUUAGAGAAGAUGUGGCUGGUAGUCAAUAUGCUCCAGAAAGACAGAAAGAGGAAGAUAAAGCAAGAACACAGAGAGAGAGAGAGAGAAAGAGAGAGAGAGAGAGAGAGAGAGAGAGAGAGAGAGAGAGAGAGCGCUUGACAGUAGAGCUUGGGCCAAAUUUUGUCUAGUAGUUUGUUUAAACUAGUUAAUUCAAGCACAAAACAUCAUGACAAACAUGUCCUUAAUUCUGCUGAGUUUCCUGCUUAUGAUCUCAGCGGUUUUUGCUGAAUGUGGUGGAUUUUCAAUUUCAUCACAUGAAGGAAACCCAAAAGUACGUCAAUACUGAGUAUUUCUUCUGUAACAUAUGAACAAAAUAAAAGACAUAGAAAUGUUUUCCCCUGUCCUCCAGAUAGCUACAUUUAGUGUUCCGCCAAAGUGGCAGAAGAACCUAAUACUUUGUUGCACUUGCCAAGAUUAUGUAAGAGUAACAACACCCAAACUUAACCUCAAGCUGCAGCAGAAUAUAAAUAAGUUUUGCAACAUGUUCACCCCACAUGUGAAAAUUAAAUGUUUGAGGUUUGGAGGAAAACUCAAGACAAAGAUUCUCAAGUUCAUUUUCCCUGGAAAAACCACCAGAGAAACCUGUCAGAAAAGAAAGCUGUGUAUGUAUUAAUAAAGGCAAAAAAUAAACAAACAAAAAUCUUGACAUUAAUAUAUAGGCAAAUGUGAUUAUCUAAUAUCUCUACAGUCUGUUUAUCCAAUAAAUGGGAAAUGUGCUAAAUUAUUUGCAAUCCUUACCUUAAAAACUAGUAGUAUAAAUGUCUAAAAAUGUUUUUCAAAUGUUCCUUGGAAUUGCAUGUUUAUAAUUCAUUUAAAAUUGGAUAUAUUUAAUUGAUCAUUUCAAAUGACUUUUGUUUCUUUUUUAAUUUUGAGCUCAAUCUUUUGUUGGUCAUUUUGAUAACUGUGAUUUCCCUGAUUUUGUUUAUACUUGUAUUGCAUUACAGACCAUAAAUGUAUAUAAUGUAAUGUAUUGCAAAUAGAC